GGGGCAGCGUGCGCCCGUGACGCACGGGGUCGGUGGCAGAGGGGACAGUGGCGCCCCGUGGCGCGCGGGAUCGGCAGCAUCUCGAGUCGAACGUGGUGUCGACGGUUGAACGUGGGGACGAAUGGACGCGUGUGCCUCCGCUCGAAGGGGGGCGGGUGGACGAGGAGACGCCACUGUGGAACUGCCUGCCGUCGACGUGCCGACUGCCCGUCUUGGAGGAACAGCAGGAAGAGCUCAGUGGUCGUGGCGGCGGGUGGACGCGUCGACGGUGUCUCCACUGGUGGUGGCGAGCGUCCCGGACGCGGCAGGCGAAGCCGGCAGCCGUGCAACAGAAAGCGGUGAGGCCGGAGAAGACAACAAAGGCAGAAGGAGGCGGAGAUAACGAAGACGAUCACCACCACGUCGAGGGCUAGAAGCAGGUCCACCGGGGUUAGAAGAAUAAGCAGGUCCACUGGGGCCGAGACGACGACAACUUCGGAUGUUGUAGACUUGGCAUGUCACGGUCGAUCGAGUUUGUUCUACGUUUAGUUGUAUAACACCUGAUAUAAAGAUGUCAACAUACCUUGUUCCCUCGAUCCUACUAAUACG
rnacentral:rRNA from 1 species